rnacentral:misc_RNA from 1 species
GUGAAUCAUCAAAUUUUUGAACGCAAAUUGCACUCUCCGGUUUUCCGGGAAAGUAUGCCUUUUUGAGGUUCUGUUUAAAAAAUAAUCGAGUCUGCUGCUGUGGGGGCUCUUCGGAAUUGGGACAUCUUUCAUCUUUCGGUUGUAAGUGUCAUAAAAUUUUUUUUACGAUUUCUACGAACGUGUUUAAGA